rnacentral:rRNA from 1 species
UUCGAAUUUUGGUGGAUUAGUGGCGAACGGGUGAGUAACACGUUGGUGACCAACCCCGAGGAGGGGGACAACUGUGGGAAACUACAGCUAAUACCCCGGAUGCUCAGAUGUUUAGAAAGUCUGAGUUAAAGCUCCGGUGCCUCGGGACGGGCCUGCGGGCUAUCAGCUUGUUGGUGGGGUAAUGGCCUACCAAGGCGAAGACGGCUAGGGGGCGUGAGAGCGUGGCCCCCCACAAUGGAACUGAGACACGGUCCAUACUCCUACGGGAGGCAGCAGUGAGGAAUAUUGCGCAAUGGGGGAAACCCUGACGCAGCAACGCCGCGUGGGUGAUGAAGGCUUUCGGGUCGUAAAACCCUUUUCUGGGGGACGAAACCAGACGGUACCCCAGGAAUAAGUCCCGGCUAACUACGUGCCAGCAGCCGCGGUAAAACGUAGGGGGCGAGCGUUAUCCGGAAUUAUUGGGCGUAAAGCGCACGUAGGCGGCAUGGUAAGUUGGACGUGAAAGCUCUCGGCUUAACUGAGAGAGGUCGUUCAAAACUGCGAUGCUUGAGACUAGAAGAGGAGAGCGGAAUUCCCGGUGUAGUGGUGGAAUGCGUAGAUAUCGGGAGGAACACCAGUGGCGAAAGCGGCUCUCUGGUCUACGUCUGACGCUGAGGUGCGAAAGCGUGGGGAGCGAACGGGAUUAGAUACCCCGGGUAGUCCACGCUGUAAACGAUGGAUACUAGGUGUAGGAGGCUUUUAACCCCUUC